GAUGAACGCUGACAGAAUGCUUAACACAUGCAAGUCUACUUGAACUUCGGUUUGGGUGGCGGACGGGUGAGUAACGCGUAAAGAACUUGCCUCACAGUUAGGGACAACAUUUGGAAACGAAUGCUAAUACCUGAUAUUAUGAUUUUAGGGCAUCCUAGGAUUAUGAAAGCUAUAUGUGCUGUGAGAGAGCUUUGCGUCCCAUUAGCUAGUUGGAGAGGUAACGGCUCACCAAGGCGAUGAUGGGUAGCCGGCCUGAGAGGGUGAACGGCCACAAGGGGACUGAGACACGGCCCUUACUCAUACGGGAGGCAGCAGUGGGGAAUAUUGGACAAUGGACCAAAAGUCUGAUCCAGCAAUUCUGUGUGCACGAUGACGUUUUUCGGAAUGUAAAGUGCUUUCAGUUGGGAAGAAAAAAAUGACGGUACCAACAGAAGAAGUGACGGCUAAAUACGUG
rnacentral:rRNA from 1 species